CCAGCUCCCGGCCACCCGCUUCCUGCAUAAUUUACAGGACAAAGAUAUUGUUUAAAAAAUCGUCCCUGAGAUUACCAACUUGGCUGAUGAAGGAUGCCCUCUGGCUCAGAGAUGUGCUUGUGAGAAAGGAGAGAGGGGACCAAGCGGGCAUGCGGGGAAAAAAGGUCGCUCCGGAGAUGA